rnacentral:rRNA from 1 species
UACGUAGGGGGCAAGCGUUAUCCGGAAUGAUUGGGCGUAAAGCGUCCGCAGGUGGCUGUGUAAGUCUGCUGUUAAAGAGUGAGGCUCAACCUCAUAAAAGCAGUGGAAACUACACGGCUAGAGUGCGUUCGGGGCAGAGGGAAUUCCUGGUGUAGCGGUGAAAUGCGUAGAUAUCGAGAGGAACACCUGCGGCGAAGGCGGGUAGCUGGGCCGACACUGACGCUGAGGAGCGAAAGCGUGGGGAGCAAACAGG